UACAGAGGAUGCAAGCGUUAUCCGGAAUGAUUGGGCGUAAAGCGUCUGUAGGUGGCUUUUUAAGUCCGCCGUCAAAUCCCAGGGCUCAACUCUGGACAGGCGGUGGAAACUACCAGUACGGUAGGGGCAGAGGGAAUUCCUGGUGUAGCGGUGAAAUGCGCAGAUAUCAGGAGGAACACCGGUGGCGAAGGCGGGUCUCUGGGCCGAUACUGACGCUGAGGAGCGAAAGCGUGGGGAGCGAACAGG
rnacentral:rRNA from 1 species